UGAACAGAGUUGCCAUAGGGAUUUCAGUAUGCUGGGGGAUCUGGGCUAGGCAAGUACCAGCAUUCUGGAACUUGGUCUUCAGCAUUCCUUGUCUGAAAAGGUCCUUUUGACAUCCAGGACUGCAAUGUGGAUGCUGAAAUGGCCAUACUAGCUGAGAGCAGCACUGCUUCUUUCCACUACAACCUCUGCAUUUCUGGGCACUUUCUGGGCUUCAAAGCUCCUGCUUAACUGCACGUGGGCAAUGGGGAGACACUUCACCCAUUUCAGCAUGGCUUUGUACCUUGGCCACCAGCUUAGAACCAGGACUGCUCUUGCAAGGAAGACUGCCAGCUACACCCACCUCCCGACAGACUGAUAACACCGGUCCCUGCAGGACCUGAGACACUCCUCUUUGCUGAAGACCAAGAGGACACAGCUGAGGGUCACAUCAUGUGCAUGCUCUUCCCUCCAGAGGUCUGAUGCUUGUUCUUGCUCCACCGUAGAUGUGCUUGCUUUGCUGCCGCAGGGCCAGGACCUUGUGUGGGUGAUACGGGAUCGUGUCUCUCACUGCCACAUGUGAUGUACUU